UGCCUCUUCAAUCUCUCCUCAUGCCAGUCAACCUAGCAUUUCUCAUCGAUAUUUUCAGAAAUUGACCUUUUUUUUGGAGAUUUCUUUGUUUGAAUUUUAUUUAUUUAUUAUUAUUUUUUUUUUACAAUUUAAGGAAUUGCAGUGAGUUGUGAAAAACCAUGGUGGAUCUGUUCUUAUUGGAUGCUUGUUUUGGUCUUUUGGAUAUGCAUGUAUUGAAUUUUUGUAACAAAAACAUGAUCUUUGCACUAACAAUAACAUGCUUUAUAACUUGGCUAUGGAACAAACUUUUUGGGAACAAAAUUAUUGGAACUUAGUGUUCUAUGUUUUGGGAACAAAAACUAUUUGGCUCAACAUUAUAAAUCCUACUCGGCCAGAAAAAUCGAAACAAGGGAGCUUUACAAAUCAUUUUCCACCAGAAAGAUUCGAAAAGAGAAUCUCACUUCAAUGGUGAGAUGACAUGGCAAGAUUUGAUUGAUAGGGUCACAUGCUUAUAGAUACCCAACAGUGUAAGGUCCACCGAUCAAAUCUUUCCACAUCAUCUCACCACCCAAUUUAGGUAUUACCUUAGAAAAUAUCUAAUCCAUGACUACGUGUAUGAGACCAUAGAUGAUGAAAUUAGUUGAAUGCCACAUAACAUGGAUACCAUUUGAUAUUGAAUUUGGACCGUCAAUAAAUUUUUCAUAACUGCUCAUUUAUUUUGUCCUUGUGUGGCCCAACAUGUCUUUUUUGAAAAUUUGUUUGUGGGAACGCUGUUUGGAGCAUUAAUUCAGUUUUGAGUUUGUUGUUUAUUUCAUGCAGGAACCUGCAUCAGAGAUACAGGACAAGAUUUUAUUUAUGAUUAAUAAUAUUUCAGCUUCAAAUAUGGAUGUGAAAGCAAAAGAAUUUACUGAUGUCCUAAAAGAGCAGUACUAUCCAUGGUUUGCUUAGUAUAUGGUGAUGAAAAGGUGGACUCCGCAAUAUUCCACAAAAGAAAGAAAAAAUAGGCAGUCAUUUGUUGAACUCUACCCUCACAGCAACAGAAAGGACCAUUCGCUGUAUUCUUGAAAAUUACCAAAAGGAAGAUGGCAUUGAGAUUCCGGCACCUUUACAACCCUUCAUGGGUACUGCCUUCCUUCCCUUCCAGAACAGCCCAGCGCCAGAGACGAAAGGAAAGAAGUCUAAAGCCAAGGUGGCUGCUUAAACAUGAGAACCGAAACAACCAGAAGCAUGAUCGGCUAUGUUACCAAAAUAUUACAUUGAGCAAUGCGUUGUCAUAUUUAUCUGAUAUGAUCAACUUUUAGAAUAAGGGGUUGAAUUGGCCCAACACCACCACCACUACCACUACCACCACCUCCUUAUGGCUGGUUGCAGAAAUUUUUAUUCAGUUAUUGUGCAACUGUCUUCCUCAAAAAUAUUUAGUAGUCAUUGGCGUGCUUACAGCCACACUUCUUUUUGUGGAAGUUGAAAAAAAGAGUGGAUGGUUGGUUUUUUAAA